GACGUAGGGCGCAAGCGUUGUCCGGAUUUAUUGGGCGUAAAGAGCUCGUAGGCGGCUUGUUGCGUCGACCGUGAAAACCCGUGGCUCAACUGCGGGCUUGCGGUCGAUACGGGCGGGCUAGAGUUCGGUAGGGGAGACUGGAAUUCCUGGUGUAGCGGUGAAAUGCGCAGAUAUCAGGAGGAACACCGGUGGCGAAGGCGGGUC
rnacentral:rRNA from 1 species